rnacentral:tRNA from 1 species
GCGGACGUGGCGGAACUGGUAGACGCGCAGGUCUCAGAAGCCUGUGGCCGCGAGGCCGUGGAAGUUCGAUUCUUCUCGUCCGCACCA